rnacentral:misc_RNA from 1 species
GAGAGAGAGAGAGAGGGAGAAAAAUGAUGCUAUAGAGAGAGAUUUAGUAUGCACUUGCACGUAGCUUUAGAGUAGUGAUGCUAUAAAGUUUCUUUGGAUACAAACUCAAAGAGUUCUUUUUCUCUUUGUUAUGAUGAAUAUGAUGUUAUGUAGUUGAGUUUUAUUGAGGUUAUUUGGAUCUCUUCCAAAGUGUCAAUGUCAAUGUUUAUUUCUAAUAGCAAGAAGAGAGAGAGAGAGAGA